UCCUCGACUUCCACACCCUCCUGUAUAGGGUAACGUCCUUAGUAAGUUGAAGUUUCGUCAUGUCCUGCCUAAUCACCUCCGCCAAUACUUCUUAGGCCUACCUCUACCUCUUCUCAUGCCCAUCACAGCCAAUCUCUCACAACUCCUCACGGAGGCAUCAAUGACUCUCCUCUUCACAUGUCUAUACCAUCUUAACCUCACUUCACGCAUCUUUUCCUCCACAGAGGCUACUCCACCUUAUCCCGUAUAACUUCAUUUUAUCUUGCAUAUUUUAUAUGUUACUUGUGGGCUAGCUUGUGAUCAAACAGGAUAAUUUCCGAUGGUUGUACAAGCUAAAGAGGGGAAAUGGUGUGGAGAAAAUGUUCUCUUAGAAAUUACAGUAUUUCAUAAUUCAAUUGUAGGAGAUGGAUGGAAUGAAGGAAAAACCAUAAAAGCAUAUGUAUACUUGAGUUCGAAGAUCAUGUUUUAGCAUGUCGUUCUCCAUCCCGAUUUCAUUUCUAUGAGUCCUACAUCAAGUAAUCAGCGGCGGAUGUAGUGUGUUAGCAAUGGGUUCAAUUGGGAACCUAUAACAACAACAAAUACAGAGGUAGGACUCAUCAAGUAGGCAGUGGCGGAUGUUGAUUAUGGCACCCAAUCAUAAUCAAUCUCUUGAUCAAAGACUCUCCCAGCAGGAUCGUCCUGUACUGUGAUGUUUAUAGGCAGCUCGUCCGUUAUGUCCAUUUCAAUCAACACUCUGGCAUACGAGAUCCUUGCUGAAUUUGUUGUGCAGUCAUCAGCAUAUACAUGCCUCCCUAUUUCCACUAGCAAUUCUGCUCAAAGUGAUCUUUCCCAAGCAGUUUUGAGGCAAGUUAGAAAAUAUUACCCAUAGUGGGAUGGUUUUAGCAUUUCGUCAUGAAAAUUAAUCUCAGCAGACCAAGGCUUCAAGAUUACUGGUUUAUUGUUAAGGAUGAUAGGAAAUAUUAUUGGGUAUGUUGUUGUUGUUGUUAAUGGUGUAUGGUCCCGAGUAUAAUACCUCGUUCCUAUCAUCCAUACUACUGAAGAGUAAAACAAAAUGUCCUACAUGAAAUACUUGAGAUAGAUGCUUUUAUUUACUUUUUGUAUCACAUACUUUGAGUUUAUAUCCUUAUCCUUAAAUCUAUCAAUAAACUGGAUUUAG